GGCUUUGGGAAGCGGGGCCGGGAAGCGCAGCCCCAGGCAGCCCGGCAGCCCCCUCGGCGCUCGGUGCACUUUUUCCAUUUGUUCCCUGGCUUUUUGCGGGCUCUGACUCAGGGAAGGUGCGUGUUACCCACCAGACACGUCGAGGAAGAGAGAAACCAAUUAGGGUCGAAAUAAAUGCAAGCGAGAGAGAGGGUGAGAGAGAGAGGGAGAGGGAGCGGCGCGCUCAGACUGCGCUCCUCUUAGAGACGGAAUGAGGAUUUAGGGCAGGUGGCACUUCGCACGGUCAUUAUCCGGGCACACGGAUGACAGGAGAGCCCUAGAGCGGGCUGCGGAUGGACGCUGCUACCUUUACGGCCAAGAUGUUUUCACCUCCCGUGAGCAGUGGCAAAAAUGGACCAACUUCCUUGGCGAGUGGACAUUUUACUGGCUCAAGUACGUACCCGCUUUGUUCAGCGCGCGGCUGCGAUGCUCCCUGUUAUUUCUCCGUGGGCAUUACCUUUGUUGUGGUUGUGGUAA
rnacentral:lncRNA from 1 species